rnacentral:misc_RNA from 1 species
UGUUUGGCCUUCUUGGAGCAAUGUUAUCAGAGCUUCUUACUAACUGGACUAUCUAUGCUAACAAGAUUGCAGCUCUAAUGACUCUUGUGAUCAUCAUCGCCAUUAACUUGGCUGUAGGAAUUCUUCCACAUGUUGACAACUUUGCACACAUUGGAGGUUUCUUGACUGGUUUUCUCCUGGGCUUCGUUAUACUACUUCGUCCACAGUUUGGGUGGUAUGAAAGCCGGCAUCUUCCCGCUGAUACUCGUGUAAAGUCUAGGCACACGGCUUAUCAGUAUGUGUUAUUACUGGUUGCCGUGGUUUUACUUAUUGUUGGAUUCACUGUGUGUUUGGUAAUGCUGUUCAGAGGAGUGAAUGGGAAUGAUCAUUGCAGCUGGUGCCAUUAUCUAAGUUGUGU